rnacentral:rRNA from 1 species
UACGUAGGGUGCAAGCGUUGCCCGGAUUUAUUGGGCGUAAAGGGCGCGUAGGCGGGCAGUCAAGUCUGUGGUGAAAUCCUCCGGCUCAACCGGAGAAUAGCUGGAGAUACUGACUGUCUCGAGGGGGGUAGGGGCAUGUGGAACUUCCGGUGGAGCGGUGAAAUGCGUAGAUAUCGGAAGGAACGCCGGUGGCGAAGGCGGCAGCCUGGACCAAUAUUGACGCUGAGGAGCGAAAGCCAGGGGAGCAAACGGG